GCCGGCUCUUCCCGCCAGGACGGGUCCCGGGGACGCGCCCAGCUCCUGCCCCAUGAGGGCCGCCUGCGCCGUGAGUCCGCGUGUCGCGACGGACGGGGCCCUGCGUCGUGACAGAUGGGUCCCCGGGGCUGAGUAUCGCGACGGACGGGGCCUUGUGUUGCGAUAGAUGGGGCCCCGGGGCUGGAUAUCGUGACGAAUGGGGCCUUGCAUUGCAAUGGAUGGGGCCCCAGGGCUGGAUAUCGCGACAGACAGGGCCCCGGGGCUGGAUAUCACGACAGACAGGGUCUCAGGACCAGGUAUUGCGAUGGACGGGGCCCUGCGUCGCGACGGACAGGGCCCUGGGGCUGGAUAUCACGACAGACGACGCCCUGCGGCUGGGCGUCACAAUAGACAGGGCCCCGGGGCCGAGUAUCGUGACAGAUGGGACCCUGCGGCGGCAUGUUGCGACGGGCAGGGAUCACAGUCCUACAGCCAUAUGUCGCGACGGAUGGGGCCCCAGAGCCACAUGUCGUGACAGACAGAUCAUAGUGCCAUGGUCGGGUAUCAUGACGGGCCAGGAAUUGUGA
rnacentral:lncRNA from 1 species